AUAACAUUGAAUUACAUUUAUACCUUCUGCUUGACAGAAGGUGAGAAUUCGAGUGUGACAUGCGAGUAAAUGCAAGUCAGUGUGAACAGUACAGGGGUACUGUUCAUCUAUUUAUAGGCACAGGACGCAGCCUGUGAGAAAUUACAUUCAUGCCCUUUACAAAUGCUUACAAUCAUAAUACAAGCUAUCAUGGGUCGAUUGGUCAUUUCAUCUUUAAGUCGGUUCACUCCUUCGUCUUGAGACAUGCCACUAUGUCGAAGCUUUAUGGAUGAAAGCUUCGGCACUGCUUUUGAGAGGAUCUGCCGAAGGUGUUUCUUUCUACAGGAUCUUCGGCGACGAAGCAUAUCCCCAACAGUAGCCCCUUCGCGGUGUUAGAUCGUUUUUCGUAACGAGCUUGAUCCGUGAAAAAUCCUCCUAGGCUUUGGAAUGCCGAAGGUCCGAAAAACACCUUCCCUGAGCUCGUUGCCGAGAAACGAUUAAAAUAUUCCGAGCGCGAGAUGGCCCCACCAUGCGGCGGGUACACGCGUCCUGGCGAUUCACCUUCUCGGGUUCUGUGGCCCACCAUUCAGUGGGUGCGGGCGAUUGUUCGUCCGGUGCGGAAGACUUGACGAUUCACCUUCUCACCUGCGGCACUAUAUAAACAAACGGGUAGAUGUGAAGUUACCACAUCAUUCAUUGCUAUUGCACUGUUUUGCUGCCAAAAAUUUGACCAUAGCCGAAGCUUGUUCAUCGCAUUCAACCGAAGCACUGCUGUUGGUUUUGCUUCGUCACAAGAGGAAGAGCUUCGGAAAAAUUUAAAAAGUCAACAACUUCAUCAAAAAUUGUGAGGAAUCCAUCAUCAAAUGGCAAGGGUGCGCUCCACUGCCAGGGUUACACGUGACGAAGAAGAAGCCGAAGCUGCUGAAACUGCUCUGAUUUCCGAAGUGAUGAAACGGUCGGGGCUGGUAGCGCCAGAGGAUGUUUCUGACGAAGGUGUACCUGUCGUUGAAGCUGAGCAGGUUGGUGCUGAGGAAGGUGAAUCUGAAGAUGAUUAUAGUGACGUGCCAUCUAAACCCAGCCACCUGGAGUUUAAGAGGUCCACUGUUACCGAAGAUGAUGUGCCUAAGUUGAUGAAGUUAGGCUAUUUCAGUGAGGCCAAAAAGGGACUAAUUCGCUUUGGCAGAGAGGAAAUUACUCCGAAACCAGAAAAGGAUGAGGUGGUAGUUUUUAAAAGCUUCUUUAAAGCAGGAUUAAGAUUUCCUUUGAAUGAGAUGAUUGUGGAUCUUUUGGGGAAGUUUGGGAUUUAUCUUCAUCAACUAACUCCCAACGCCAUCGUUAGACUUAGCGUCUACAUCUAGGCUCUUCGAAGCCAAUGGGCAGAACCGCUUGCCGAAGGCUUCUGCCGGGCUCAUUAGCUUCAUUAUCAGACAAAAGCUAGAGAAGAUGGGUUGCACGAAAACUUCAGAUGCUAUAAUUUUGCUUAUCGCAAAGAUGCGAAGACUCCAGUUAUCAGCUAUCAUACCAAAUGGCUAGCUGGCUGGAAGACUGAAUGGUUUUAUGUCAAAGUUGAUGAGAAAAAGGAGAAGCUGGUUCAAAUCCCAUUAGAAUUAAUCUUCACAGAGACUAGGCCCCAAUGCAACAUGGCACCGGAGAGUCCAUGCCAGAUUGCACUAGGCGAAUUUUGAGUUAUUGCGGAGCACAUUGGUACUAGGGAUCUGGUGCAAGAAUUCUUAGCUUUUAGAGUAUUCCCGACUUUGAAAGAAUGGGACAUGCCGAAGCUCAAAGGGAAAAAGAAAGAGAAGGAACUUGUUCGGUUGCCUUAUUAUUAUAAAUUCAAGAAACACUUCAAAGAACCUUGCCAAGAAUGGUUAGACACGAUUGAAGUUAUGUGCAACGAGAUCCUUGGCAACUAUUCCAAAAAAGAAGAUCAAUUAAUGACUGCAGUCUUCGGCACUUGACCAAAGCAAAGGUUGAACCAGGUGAUAGAUGCCCUGAACUUUGAGUAUCCUGACUAUGAGCGUUUGGAGAGAGGUGCCGAAGGACAAAAAAGAAAAAGAGUUGCAAGCGCUCUGGAUAAAGAAGCUGCUAAACUGGUGAAAAGGAUGAAAAAAACUUUAAAGAAAAGAAAAUUAAGCCCUGAGCCGAAGGUAGCUGCUUCGAAGAAGAAGAAAACUGUGGCUCUGAAGCAAAAAACGACUGAUAUUGAGGAUGAAGCUCCUUCAACACCUCCUGCUACCGAUGUGGAAGAAAUUUUAAAGGUAAUUACUGAAUCUUUGCCUGUCAAGCUAAGUCCACUAGGGCCACAUCUGACGAAGCUUUUUCAGAAGGAAAAGGAGCCUUCGGCAGCGAAGAAUCCAAAUGAGCCAAAAAACGAAGAAUUAUUCAUGUAGUUGAAGUUAUCGAGCAGACACCGCCGCUGUCAUCGGCGUCAAAGACUCCAGCUAUUGAGAGCAUUGUUGCUGCCGAAGCUGCACCCAUCGAAGCCGAAAGUGUCGAAGCUAAAACCGCUGAAAUGUCAAUCUAGACGCCACACUCUCUGAAAUUGAUGCCAUGCUUCUAAAUGCGGCCGCGGAACAAGCUGCUGCAGCCGCUGAAGAGAUCUCGGGCACAAUGGCUGGAAAAGGAAAGAAGAAAGCCGAGGAUAUUUCGGAAGAAGAGGACUUCAAUUUUCAAGAUAUACUUGGGCAAGAAUUGUCGAAGGCUGAAAAAGAAGAACUGAAAGAAUAUGCUAUAUCUUGUGGGUACAGACCAGGUGCGUUACUCUUCGGGGGAGUCAAUGAAGAAAGCUUAGGAUGCCUUCGGGACCACACUGGGGCGAAGGUUGUCGGCACUAUAUCAAAGAGUGUUGGCCUCUCGAAGGUUGAAGCAGACCUCAGCAGGUACCGGCGGCAGCAUAUCGCCAGUAGUCUAUUUUAUGCUAACUUUAAGGUAAAAUUCUUAAUUUUUCGUUGUUUUGAUAUGAAGAUUGUUUUUCUGAUGAAGCUUAAUUUAUCAGAGCUUACUGUUGAGCAAAAUCCUGAGGAUGCAACAAGACCUCGAGGACAAAAAGAACGAAGUUAUAACUGAGGGCCUGGAGAAGAAGAUUAAAGACCAUGAGGCUACCCUGGAGAAAAAAGACUUCGUACUUCAAACCAUGGAAGGUUCACUGGCGAAGGCCCAGGCCGAAAUUGCUAGAUUGAAUAGUGAGCUCUCCAUGGAAAAUAAAAAUUUUGAAGCCAAACUCGAAGCUGAAGCUGAGAAAAAUUCAAAUUUGCAGAAAUUACUGAAAGAACUUCAAGAAAAAUGCGUAAACAUCAGCAAACAGUGCCUGCAGCGGCUGAAGCAGGUUUUCAACUCGGUUGGAGCCAGCACUGUGAGAUUCAGUCCUUCGGUUGAGAACCUGCCGGAAACCUUCGAAUAUAUUGAGGGCGAAGUUGAUGCACUCGACGAAGUUAUAGCUGGACACGCCGAUUUCUACGCUCUGCUAGCUUCUCGGGGCACAUCUGUUGCCUUCAUAAAAUCUGGCUGCGUACAUGGAAAAAUUGUCAACAGACCAAAUUUUAACUUAUCACCGACAGAUUUAAUUGAUAUACCUAGCCUAGCUCGGAGUAUAGGAAAUAGAUUUAUAACUCAGAUUUGGGUAAAAGGCGGGCGAAAAAUGGCUGGCGACGAAGCUCGAAGCCGCCUUAAGCCGGUAAGAAAUUUGUGCCUGUUACUUUACCUUCUCCUUGAACUCUGCACUUCUCUCAUACCGUUUUAGUAUGUACAGGAUGGCGAUGCUGAGGAACAAUGAGCCGAAGCUUGACAGGUGAUCCGGAGCUCAGAUGAUCCGAAGCUCAAUGAUGUCAAAGCUGAAGACCUUGCUGAAAAUUUCUAGAGAAAAUCUUGUAAUAUCGUUGUAAAAAUAUUUGUAAUUUAAAAAUCAAAUACUAAUUCUGUAAAUUUGUGCAUACCUUGUAAUAUAUUUUUACCUUUUCGUCCAUGUUUGAACUGCUUUGCUGUGGACGAAACUAGUAUUUUUUUGAGCCAAAGGCGAAAAACACCUUCCCUUCUUUUCGUACACAACGAAGCAUGAAACUGCUUCUUUUUUUUGCCGAAGCCUUAUUUUUAUGUCCGAAACAUCCGCCUGUGUCUGUAUGUUAUGAUGAUGAUCCUAUGUAUGUCUAAAUGAAUGUUUAUGAAUGCAAAUAUAUGAUGUAAUGUGUCGUGCAAAUGAAUGUCCAAAGACACACAUACAAAGCCACAACCAUAGCCUUUAUUCCCUUGGGAAUGACCAAAGUCUCUUUGCCGUUUAUUUUUCGGCUUCACCGCUUAUUUUUCGGUGUAUCAGCGCUGACUUUUCGCUGUAAGUUCUGCAUCACCUUAGGAACGUCUUUUGAACUUCUUCGCCUUCUAUUUCGACGGUAUCGCGUUGACUUUUUGCGCUUCGCCUUUUAUUUCGGCGGAAUCAACGUUGACUUUUCGUUGUAAGCUCUGCAUUCCCUUUGGAACGACUUUUGAGUAGAAAACUUACGCUGCGCUCCCUUAGGAACGGCUUUUUGUAGCUUCAUCGUGCUCUGCAUCCCCUUAGGGACGACUUUCGAGCUUCUCCCUAUUUUUUCCUCUUUUCCUGCACUCGAUGGUGCAUGCUCAGCUUUUACAUCUACAUAUCUGGGGGAUUUUGCUCUCGUAGAGCUGAAUAAGAAAAAGAGAAAUUACAUUCUAUGGCCCCAUUAAAAACCUUUCUCCCCCUUUGGAAAGGAAAAGGGUGCCAUAGGAAAAAUAAAAAGAUUACAUCAAGCUAAACAUAAUAUCGCCGAAGCUCAUCCGCAUUCCAAGAUCUAGGAAUGUCGUUGCCGUCCAUAUCCUUCAAUCUGUAAGAACCGGGUCUUGACGAAGAUACUACCAGAAAAGGUCCUUCCCACUUCAACUGUAGCUUGCCUACUGUAUCUGGGUUGGCCACUCUCCGAAGUACCAAAUGCCCUGGCUUAAUGUUCUUUAGCCAAACUUUUCUAUCACGCCAUUUUAUUGUUUUGGCUUGGUAUUUAUUGAUAUUCUCCACGGCCUGAAGCCUGAUCCCUUCUAUAGCAUCUUUUGCCACAGAAUAAUCAGCUUCGUCCUCUGCCGAAGCUACUGUUCUUAUUGAUCCUGCCUUAGCUUCUUUUGGGGUUAUUGCUUCGUCACCUACCAAACAAUAGUUUGAAUGGUGUAAAACCUGUUGACCUUGAUAUUGUUGUAUUGUGGCUCCACACCACUUUGAUCAAUUCAUCUAGCCACUUUCCUCUGGGCUGAUUGAAGAUUAACUUCAUUAUUCCCGUCAUUAUAAUGCCAUUAGCUCUUUCAACAUGUCCAUUUGACUCUAGAUGUCUGACCGAUGCAAAAUGAAUCUUCGUGCCAAUUUGUUCACAGAAUUCCUUGAAAGCUUCAGCAUCGAACUGUGUUCCGUUGUCUACAGUAAUAGCCUUCGGCACUCCAAAGCGACAAACAAUGUUUUGCCAGAAGAAUUUCUGGACGGUGACUGAGGUUAUUGUGGCUAAAGGCUUCGCCUCAAUCCACUUGAAAAAAUACUCUACCGCCACCACAACAUAUUUUAGAUUUCCUUGUGCUGGUGGAAGUGGGCCUAGCAAAUCGAGGCCCCACCUUUGCAACAGUCAAGUGGGCUGUAUUAACUGAGUGAGAGAUGAAGGCUGCUUCUGGUCUCUUGCACAUUUUUGGACUAAUUCUGCUGCAUCCGAAGCUGCCUUUGGCCAGUAAAAUCCUUGUCGAAAAACUUUUCCCAACAAGGGCCUAGAUCCAAUGUGAGAUCCACACAGACCUGCAUGUAUCUCUUUCAUUAAUUCCAUACCUUCAGUUCUUGAUAAACACUUGAGGAGUGGUGAACAAACUCCAUGUUUAUACAAUUCCCCUUCUAUUAUCACAUAUGGUCUUGUUCUUGCCUCUAUUCUCUUGUUAUAAGCUUCAUCACUUGAGAGACAAUUGCCUUGGAGGAAAGAUAUUAUUUCAGUUCUCCAGUCUUCACUGUGUACUGGAGAAAUAGUAAGCACUGCUCUCUCCAUGAGCUCAACCGAAGGUGCUUUUAUUGUUUCAAAAAAUACUUCCAAGGGUAGAGGGAGCCCCUGAGCCGCUGAUUUGGCUAGCAAAUCUGCAUGUUCAUUUUCACCUCUUGGAAUAUUCUUGACAGAAAAACCUUCGAAGGAAGCUUCCAACCUUCGAACUGCAUCCAAAUAUCUUUCAAGCUUCGGAUCUCGUGCCUUGUUACUUUUGUCCACGUGGCCAGCAAUAACUUGAGAAUCAGUCUUUAGGAUGGCCCUUCUUAUUCCCAUUGCCCUUAGUUUCCGAAGCCCCAACAGAAGUGCUUCGUACUCAGCAAUAUUAUUUGUACAAUUGAAAUCUAGUUUGACUGCAUAACAUGUUUUGACUUUUAAAGGUGCUACUAGGACCGCAACUGCUCCUGCACCGAAAGCUCCCCAAGAACCAUCGCAAAACACUGUCCAAGCUUCGGCAUCUUUGCUUGUCCCCUCUUCGUGAGCCCCUGGCGUCCAAUCAGCGAUGAAAUCUGCUAGCGCUUGGGAUUGAAUUGAAGAUCUGUGCACGUAGUCAAUAGUGAAUUCAUUAAGCUCCACGGCCCAUUUUCCAAUCCUUCCAGUAGCUUCUCUAUUCCUCAUGAUAUCCUUUAGGGGCUGUGAUGAAGGAACAAUUAUGUGAUAUGCUUGAAAAUAAUGCCGAAGCUUCCUGGACACCAUUAACACAGCAAACAACACCUUCUCCAAUUCUGUAUAGUUUUUCUUUGAUAAACUCAAAACUUCGGAGACAAAGUAUAUUGGGACUUGCUUUUUAGCUUGUCCUUCAAGCUUCUCUUGUACAAGCGCCGCACUCACUGCAGAGUGCGAAGCUGCCACAUAUAAUAGCAAUGGAGCCCCUAGCACGGGUGGAGUUAAUGUUGUUAAAUCGAUCAGGUAUUGCUUUAGCUCUUCGAAGGCUUUCUGUUGAGUUGGGCCCCAUUGAAAAACUUUAGUUGACUUUAAUACUUCAAAGAAUGGUAAAUUUCUUUCUGUUGAUCUAGAUAUAAAUCGAUUCAAAGAUGCCAGUAUUCCCGUCAAUCGUUGGGCCCCCUUCUUUGUGCUUGGCGGCUCCAUUCGAAGGAUAGCUUCGAUCUUGCUUGGGUUGGCUUCGAUCCCCUUCGUUGAAACUAGACAGUCAAGGAACUUGCCCUUCUUCACUCCGAAGACACAUUUUUCUGGAUUUAAUUUUAGGCCAGUUUGCCUGAAAUUAGCAAAUGUUUCCUGCAAAUCAGUAAUGUGGUUUUCUUGCUUCGUGCUCUUCACUAUGAUAUCAUCAACAUAUGUUAUCACAUUUCUGCCUAUCUGAGAAUGAAGAACCUUGGCCGUCAUCCUGCUGAAGCUUCCUCCAGCAUUCUUGAGCCCCUCAGGCAUCCGAAGAUAACAAUAUGUACCACUGGGGGUUAUGAAGCUGGCCUUUGGCUCAUCUUCCUUCUUCAUCCAGAUUUGGUUGUAGCCUAAAUAACAAUCUAGUAGACUCAUGAGCUUUGACGAAGCUGCUGCAUCUACUAGAGAAUCUAUUCUUGGUAAUGGGAACUCAUCCUUUGGACAAGCCUUGUUCAGAUUAGUAAAAUCAAUGCACAUUCUCCAUUUACCAUUGGCCUUCUUCACCAUGACAGUGUUGGCUAGCCAUUCUGGAUAUUUUACUUCUCUGAUGACACCAGCACUGAGAAGUCUUUUUACUUCGUUCCGAGCACCUUCAGCUUUAUCGUCAGACAUUUUUCGAAGCUUUUGCUUCCUGGGUCUGAAGGAUGGAUCGACAUUGAGUGAAUGUUCAAUGACGUCCAUGUUGACACCACAGAGAUCGUUGGGUGACCAUGCAAAAACAUCUUUGUUGUUGAAUAAAAACCUUAUCAAGGUUUUCUCCUGCUCUUCAGAUAAAUGGGACCCCAGCAAUACCUUCUGCUCUGCUAUGUCUUCACAUAGAAGCAUGGGCUUCGGCUGAUCAGCCGAAGCAGCCUUCUCUCUUCUGUACUUAUAUUGCUCACAAACUUUGGCUCCAUCUAUGUUGUUGAUUGCUUUUGAAUCUGUCCAAUUUCCUUCGGCCUUUCUAGCAGCUUCCUGACUGCCAUGAAUAGCAAUGGGUCCUUGUUUCGAAGGUAUCUUCAUGCAUAAAUAUGCUGGAUGAAGUAUUGCUUCGAAAGCGUUGAGUGUCCCAUGACCAAUGAUUGCAUUGUAGGGGUAUUCCAUGUCGACAAUAUCAAACACAAUCUGUUUAGUCCUUGUGUUGUGGACAAAUUCAAAGGUUACUGGCAUUGUGAUCUUGCCAAGUGCUACAAUCUGUCUUCCUUCGAAGCCACAAAGAGGGUGCGUAGCAUCAUGAAUUUUGUCCUCUAGCUCCUGCAUCUGUCUGAAGGCCUUAGCGAAUAUGAUGUGAGUUGCACUGCCUGUAUCAACCAGAACAUUGUGGACCAGAAAUCCCUUAAUGACACAAGAUAUGACCAUAGCAUCAUUGUGAGGGUAAUCUUUGAGCUGAAGGUCUUCCUGGGAGAAGGUGAUUGGGAUGUGGGACCAUUUUGACUUGAUGAAGGGUCCCUGCACCCCAACAUGUUGCACCCUUCUCUGAGCUUCCUUCUUCUGCUUCUUGUUGGCUGGCUCUGAGCAUGAACCGCCUGUUAUUGGGAGCACCCGCUUCGUAGCCGAAGCAGCUUCAACUUGGUUGCCGGACGAAGCCAUCAGCUCGAAAGUGGAAGUGAGUUGACCGGAGGUGGGCGCCAAUGUUGGGCACUUGUUCUCAAAUGCUAUGAAUUAAGAACAAGGCAACACAAAAGUUAAUGGUUAAAGACCUUCGUCCUUCGAAGGAUUAUUUCCCUUAGGAUAUAAUGAUCUUCAGACGAAGGUCAUGAAUGACGUACCUUCGUCAUUUCAAUAAGCAAUAGAAAACAGGAUCAUAUGACACAUAUAAAACAUGAAUAAUCAUAUGAUAUCAUUCAGACAUUUUUAUUAUAUAAUCAUGAAUAGACAUGGAUAACAUUGAAUUACAUUUAUAACUUCGGCUUGACAGAAGGUGAGAAUUCGAGUGUGACGUGCGAGUAAAUGCAAGUCAGCGUGAACAAUACAUGGGUACUGUUCAUCUAUUUAUAGGCACAGGACGCAGCCUGUGAGAAAUUAUAUACAUGCCCUUUACAAAUGCUUACAAUCAUAAUACAAGCUAUCACGGGUCGAUUGGUCAUUUCAUCUUUAAGUCAGUUCACUCCUUCGUCUUGAGACAUGCCACUAUGCCGAAGCUUUAUGGGUGAAAGCUUCGGCACUACUUUUGAGAGGAUCUGCCGAAGGUGUUUCUUCCUACAGGAUCUUCGGCGAUGAAGCAUAUCCCCAACAACCGUUCGUCGUUAAAUCCUCAAUACAUAUGUUCUAUCCACACUUCGACCCGCAACCGCGAGUAGCUGGUUCAUCGCUCGCCAGGCUUGGCUUCCUGGCACUUGUGAUCGCUGCCCUGCUGAAGCAAGGAAGAAGACGAACCCAGGGCCCUUGAUCUCGCAAUGAAUGGUUAGGAUUAGAGGGAAUGGUGUAGAAGCCAGGGCUGUAGGAUUUUAAACGGAUGGCGUAGAUCAAAUUUUGUGUACCCCUUCACCCCGCGGAAUUCGGGCGGUUGGAUCAUAAUCGUGUGGUUCAGAUCUGGGCUGGAUUCCAUUAAAUGCGGACCGUUAGAUCCUGAUCUGAGGCCCUAUAUUCCAUACCCUUUUCGAAGAAAUCAAAUCUAAUUUGCAUCAUCAGUUGGGGAUCGAACGGCCAGAUCUGGCCGAUACCCCUUCGGUCGAUAAACUUACAUAAGAGACCGUGGAAACCCCAGUAAUAAACCCGCCAUCCAACUCAGGGUUAAACUGAGUCUAGGAAAUUUUUGUAGGUUAGCCCCCAACCUCUCUGGAUUUAUGCGCCUAGUCCAGAGCUCAGGGAAAUUAGAUAAUUAAAUUUAGAAAGUGAUUUUCACUACACAAAUAAUUCUAGAAACUUGUGAAAUUCGUAUUUAAUUUAUUUUAGCUCCAAAUUGAUCCAAUCCAGUGGCAUUAAUUUUGUAAUAAUAUUGUCUAUCAACUAGUAGCUCUGUUUAGUCAUGCAACUUGAAUUAAAAUUAUUCACUUGAGUUAUUCUAAUCUAGCUACUAAAUAACUUUAGAAAUUCAUAACUAAAUAACUGUAACUCUGAAUUUAGUGAUUCUUGUUCCUACGAUCUCGUUACGACACGUAGAAUAUUAUCGUGCAUUCUAUUCUGUUGUUUGGUGUGAUGUUAUAUUUUUUUAUACCAUGUUUGUUUGUAUUGUUGCGAGUAGACGAGCCAUCCACAGAGGAUCCAGGGGUUCAUCAGGUAGAGACUGCUGAGCAGGAGCUCGUUAAAGGCAAGUUGUGCCCUUGAUCCUGGCCCCUGGGAUGGUGAUAUCCUGGCCCAAGGCUUAAUAGAAUUAAUAGAGUAUUCAUAUCAACAAGGUGCAUCUUCUUUUUCAGAAGCCUAUAUUGAAAGAACCUCAAAGUUAAGCGUGCUUGGCUUGGAGCAAUUUAGGAUGGAUGACCGACUAGGAAGUUUUCUCGGGUGCGCAUGAGUGAAGACAAAGUGCGCACAAAAGACUCGUGUUGGUCUGUGGGGCCAAUAUAUGAUCCUAGAGAGCUGCCAGGAGUAAGUACCACCGAUCCGAGAUUGGACGGGGUGUUACAAAUAGUAUCAGAGCCAACCCUCGCGGUUUCAUGGGCAUAUGUGGGCUAGGGGUUCGGGUAUAUGGCGCAUGGCGCAUGUGGACCCAGAGUGGUCAUAUAGCAUGGCAUAUGAUGAUACUAGACAUACAGACGUGGCCAAGAGGGGAGGUUCCUGGAUUGGGGUUGACCGACGAGGACGUCGGAUCUUCUAAGGGGAUGGAUUUUGAUAUCCUGGCCCCUGGGAUGGUGAUAUCCUACCCCAAGGCUUAAUAGAAUUAAUAGAGUAUUCAUAUCAACAAGUUGCAUCUUCUUUUUUGGAAGUCUAUCUCGAAAGAACCUCUAAGUUAAGCGUGCUUGGCUUGGAGCAAUUUGGGAUGGGUGACCGACCGGGAAGUUUUCUCGGGUGCGCAUGGGUGAGGACAAAGUGCACACAAAAGACUCGUGUUGGUCUGUGGGGUCAAUAUAUGAUCCUAGAGAGCUGUCAGGAGUAAGUAUCGUCGGUCCGGGAUUGGACGGGGUGUUACAAAACAACACUUUAUGCUGAGCUACGUCUUCACACAAAAGCAUAGACUUUGGUUGUUCUGCCGAAGCAGUUUUAUCUCUUAUGUAUUUAUGUUGCUGGUGAGCUUCGACUUCGUCUAUAUUGUGAAUGGCCAUAAACAUUUUUUAUGCCUAUAUGCAUAUGCAGAUGCAAUUGUGGAUAUUACUCCACAACUCAUGAUCAAUCAAAGAACCAAAUCAAACAGUUAUCAUAGGAACAAACAUUCAAGCGUAUAGAUACUUACAAAAAUAGUUUUGUUUUUGUUCCUAAGAUUAGGUCUCCUUUUCCUAAAGGUCACUUUAGGUAAAGGAUUUCAAAGUGUGAAAUCCACCUUUGUCAUUGGAAGAGAAAAGGUAACAAUAAUCAGAGUAAAGCAACAAUAGAUGAGAAAAGAUUAAGAUAAGUUUAUAAAGAAUCUGAGUAGCAAAGGUAAGUAGGUAAGGGUUGUCCGUUCUAUAUAGGUUUUGUCCUAGAGUCAACAUUCGUCUGAUACCACUUCUGUCACACCAGGAUUUAGGGGGCCAAACCCUGGCGCGGUUCACAUGUGUGCUAGGAUCAAGUCUCACACAUAUGAUGACUCAUGGUACAGAAACGAAUGUCACAACUUUAAUAUAUAAUAGAGUUCUAUACAAAAUAGUUAAAUAAUUACAUCAUAUGAAGACAACGAUCUAGCAACUAAAGUUGACUUGGAGACGACGGCCUAGACCACUCACGAACUCAUCACAACAUCCUUCACACGCCUCAUCCUGUGGUACCUGUACUUGACCUAGGGAAUGUGAGUACAACAAGGGUGAGCUCACAUACGUUCAUCACGCAACAAGUUGUGGGGAAUAAUGUGCAUGAGCUCACUUACGGUGGGCCUCAUGUGAAGUGUAAGGCUUACCAAAGGAGAUGGUUAAAGCUGAGCAUUGCUUUUAGAGUUGGUCAAAAUUUUGUUAGCAGUUAAUUACUAAGUAUAAGUAGAUACCAACCCAAUUAAAUAAGAGAUCACAAUUGAUAAUAACACCCACAAUGCAAUGCAUAUGACAGAUUAAGUUUAAUUCCAUAAUUUAAUCAUGCGAGAGUCCUAAGUCGCUCUUGACCAUGAGCACGGCUGAUAUACCAGUUUUACACUCUGCAGAGGUUGCACCCUUUACCCACAAGUCGUGUAUCUCGUCUACCCAGGGUUUGCAAGGCCCUUAGACACUUCUGAGGUGAAUGGAUAGGGAUCCACUACGAGGCCUUUACAAAGCUCCACUAGCUUUGAAAACCCGCUAUGGUUUCUGAGAAGGGCAAUAUAGGAAUCCCUCGUCCAAAAGUCAUCGCAGCAUGAUCAACCCGAGAACCUCCCUAUACACAGCUCCUCUACCGCCCUUGCCUCUUUCGGGUAAGGUAGUCCUCCACUAGCUUUUCUAAUUAGUCAGCCAAGGGCGUCCCAUGCCACCCUUGUGAUAGCACAGAUAUCUCAAGUUAAGCUCCAUGUUCCAAUUAACACAAUGAUCUUGCCAUGAACAAUAAUUAAAACAACAGCAUAACUGGAACAUGAUCAAAAUAUAACAUUAAUUUCACAAAACCAGGUAGAGUAAUAGCAAAACUACCCAAUAGUUCUUUUGUCUGCAAGGUGUGGGAUAAACAAUGCUAGGGAAGCCUAUUAGGUACCAUCAAAUUAAUCUAAGCAUGUCACAGUGAUUAACAGGAACAUUAAUGGGUAAAGAGAAAAGUGAUCAAGGUCACAACUUGCCUUACACUUGAGAUCCUAGGUACCAAGUUGGUCUUCAGAUUCUCGUGACCUCACCGUUAUUCGUAGCAAUACAUACAAUCAAGCAAGUAAUGGAUAUAAUUACAUUACACCAAAGCAUAUGAACAAACAACAUAAGAGUAUCCUACGCGCUGCUACAAGAUCAUAGGCUCGAGAACCACUAAAUUCGGAGUUACUGUUAAAGAGUUAUGAUUUUCUGAGGAUUUAAGUGUUAGAUCUAAAACAAAUUAAGUACAUAAUUUUAACCAUGUUUUCAUACUAAAAUAAGGUUACUAGAUGAUAAACAAUAUUAACAUGAAUUUAUUGCAACUGGAAUGGAUUAAAAACGAGUUAAACUAAAAUACUUAUGAAUUAAACAAGGUUCUGGAAUUAUUUUUAUGCUAGAAAUAUUUUUCUUUAUUAAUUUUACUCAUUUUAUUUAAUCCUUGUACUGCGACCACUAUUUCAGAAGAGUUUAGGGUUUAUUUUGUAAAUUCAAGGACUCCUUUGUAACACUCUUGCAAAAGGGAUGGGCGGCGGGUUAGUUUGUCAGAAGGGCAGGGUCUCCAUAGGAAAAUUGUUCGGCGAAGGAGUACGAUAGAUUCUGAGUCGUUGGAUUCAUGAUCUAUGGUUACGGUUAAUAUCGCGAAUGAUAUGCUUCCUAGGCCACAGGAUCAGCGAUCAAUGACCCCGGAUUAGUCCUGCACCCUUAAGUUGAAUUCAACUCCCAACCGCACGAUCCCGAUCAGACGAUCGUGAUUUUAUUAAGUCCAGAUUUCAUCACAGUCAUCCAUCGUCGAAUCAGCGAUUCCCAUGCAAUCCCCUGGACCAGGCACCCAUCAUCUAAUUCUGGGCGCCAGAUGAAGAUCCAACGGCCAGGGUUGUUUCUUCUUCCCUGAUACCGGACCACGGUGGCGCAGGCACUAGGCGGCGGUGCCAUUGCCAUCGCACACCCCCCAGCAACAAAGAGCCCAAACCUUACCGUAAAACACAGCUACGCGAGGUGGAGACCAUGCAUAGACGGGUUGUGGGGUCUUACCUGUGAAUCGAGAGUCGCAUGGCCCAUGUCCACGACGAUCCGCUGACCGCCACGAAACUCCACAUCAGCGUGAGAUUACCGGCCUUCCAUUCGCACGGUUAGUCCACGAGAACAUUGCCUGGUCCCAAGUCGGCCCUCGCGUUCUCUAGUGGUACCCGUGGACACCCAGCACGACGAAGCCCGAGCGAUGGCGGUCAUCUUUUCACACCCGCAUCUCCCGCAGCAACGGUGACCAUAUAUACUGCUAUGGAGCCCGCGGAUCGGGGCCAGCUUCAGCAAUAUGCAACGACUUCAAGGAAUCACGGAGUUUGUUGCAGCGCGCAAACAAGGCCAGGCAGGGCUCCCCAUGAAUCACGGUGGAGUUUGUU
rnacentral:lncRNA from 1 species